GACUUCAUCCCAUAUAUCUCCUGCGUGACUCGCGCGCGAUUAUCUGCUAACAAAUCUCUUACGUUAUUACGUACAAUUAUACAUUUUUAUUAUUUAAGAAAUGAAAAAGUGUCGAAAGUAAUAAGAACGACAAAAUUUAUCUCCUAAAAAAAAAUGUGAUUGAGAGCAAAUCAUGACGCAAGAUUCGAUGGAAAGUCUAUGACGAAGUUCAACAAAUGGAGAAUUCUCGCUGUCACACGCACACACACAUAUACACAUAUGACGUUGGUAGCAAACGCGUUAAGUAGAAUUGAAAAUUUUUAAUAGACAACUUUGAAGUGAGAAAUUGGUGCGCAUCACAUAUGUGUGACGCUGAUAGCGAACGUGUGUUAAUAAUGAUGGUAUGUAACAAUAUAUAAUCACCUAGGAAAAUGAUGGAGGUUUAUGAGUAAUCACGUACAAAAGUCUCUUCAUGUAGAAUUCAUUUGAAAAUACCAUAAAUAUAUUAUAUGUUAUAUAUAAAUAUAACAUAUAAAUAUUAUAUGUUAGAUAUUAUGUUAUAUAAAUAUACGAAGCAUUGUGGCAUUAGACGUUUCCAUUAAGGUAACUUUCUUUUCGCAGUUUCUUCGUGCACCCUAACGGGAAGAGUGGAGCGCGGGCCGCAUUUCCAUACAUUGCCGUCUUUAUCGAGUAUACUCGCACUCGCUGUAAUCUGAUAUUGACCACUACUGACGCUACUGCCAGCAUUUGUCGAACCGACCGGGUAUGUUGCAGCCAUAGAUCCAGGAGAUCCCAAGGAAAGCAGAAACUCACAAGCGAAGAAAUCGCGAUGAGUAUUUAUCUUUGAGGGUGGCGUAGUCGAGAUAGAAAUGCACACGGCAGCGACAGAACGGAAGAGGGACGCUCGUCGACCAUGUCGCAAAACUCCCUCGACUUUAAGCGCCAAUUGACUACCCUGCGGAACAGAC